UACGGGGGGGGCAAGCGUUGUUCGGAAUUACUGGGCGUAAAGGGCUCGUAGGUGGCCAACUAAGUCAGACGUGAAAUCCCCAGGCUCAACCUGGGAACUGCGUCUGAUACUGGAUGGCUUGAAUUCGGGAGAGGGAUGCAGAAUUCCAGGUGUAGCGGUGAAAUUCGUAGAUAUCGGGAGGAACACCAGUGGCGAAGGCGGCGAUCUGGGAAGAUACUGACGCUGAGGUGCGAAAGCGUGGGGAGCAAACAGG
rnacentral:rRNA from 1 species